AGGGUUCAUUCUUCAUUUAUUUGAAAUGGCACAGAAUCUUUUAUUGUGUUUCCUCUAACCUGUUACCGUUUCAUCUAAUGGACUAACUAUACUAGUGCUGAAAUGGUUCACUGUAUUUGUGCAUAAUUAACGUGUUGUAAAAUAAAUAAAUGCAGCUGUGCUACUAAGUGUCAACAGGUUUCUUUGUUGUUUGUAGUCUCCCCCUGACGUGUUACCUUAGGAAUAGCCUGCGAUAUGAAUAGGAGUUUCCUACUCAGAAGACCACUAGUCUGGAUUAAGACACCCUUCCUGGCUGGAGAGUGAUUCCCUCAUUGUUCCCUCUUGCUUCAAUGAACCGGUGGCACAUAUGGAUCUGAAAUGUUGACUCACAAUUCUGCCUGUUCCCAGUGAGGGCCUUGCGUUCUGCCGCAGCUCACGCAGGAUGGCUUGGAUGUUUGCUUGGCAUCGGCGGCCUUGGCAGGACAAUGGGCCGGAUUCUCGGCGCUCGCCCGCCCGCGCGCGCGCUGUGGGAGGCAACAAACAAGACGGGUCGACGAGUGAGAAGUGAAGAGGCUGCUGGGAUAUGUCAUCUCUCGGCCGGACGGAGCGGGAGAGAAAGCGUGCAUGCGUGGGAGGCUGGACACGUUGCCCCUGAACAAUAACCACCGUGAGAAGCCAUUCUGUCCUUCACGGAGAUGGAGACUGCUGGAAAAAUAUGGCCCAACUGAAGGGUAGAGAGUUGAGAGGGAAAGCUGCUACUGUGUAGUGAGUCACUGUAGUUAAUGAGGACACUCGCGCACAGUGUUGAAUGUUGAAUGGACUUGGUGCUAAGCUGUUAGAUGUGGGCUGUGGGCUGUGGGCUUUGUGCCCAGGAUGCGUCAGCCUUGUGACUGACGCUCAGUAAAUCUAUGUUAUAGAGAUAAUGAGGAAAACAUGGUUUCCUUGAAAGGUUAAUGGAAAUUUGUAAUGAGCGUGUUUACAUGUGAUUCAUGCAGUAACAUGAAGCCCCGCUGUAUAUUCUGCUCACUGUUUCUGUGUAGAUUUCAGAUUGCUAUGAAAAUCACUCAAAACGAUAACCUCUACUAGUAGAAAUGAUAUAAAGCCACAUAUAUAAGUGUGCAUGGAAAUUCCACACAUACUGUACAUGUAGCACAGACUGGCAACAUUUUGAAGAGGGAAACUGACUGUCCCAUGAAUCUUUCACCUUGAAGACUCUCCCUUCUCACCCUGUGGCGCUCUGGGCUGCGUGCCAAGUGACAGGAGAUGAAAACGCCUGAACGAAGCCCAGCGAUACCUAAAAAACGAAACCAGAACAACCAAAAGCUUCAAGGCAGAGGGGGCUGGCCACGCCCUGAAGUCAGUAGCAACCCAAUGUUUUCACAAAGUCCCGCUGAGGAUAUGUACUGUGUAUGUAACAAGUGACUGAUCUGAAUGUUUGACAUUUGAAAAAAUAUAUAUGUGGAAAGUGAGGAAAGUUAAGCAAAGCCUUCCAGAAGUGUCUGGGACAAAUAAGCACAACAUUCUACAUGACUGAGAUCUGACAUAUGACUGUAUGUACAUCAUAUACAUUUAUAAAUAACUUGUCCAACCACCUCAUGGCAACAUAUAUGAAAACAUGCAAAACCAUACAGUCUUCAAUGCACCUGAUAAAGCUAUUUUUUUUUUACUUCAUUUACAUGACAUUUUUUCUUCGGACCCUCUGAAACUGAAUGGCAAGAUCAAACAGAUGGCCAUGAACUGAUCUUCAUCUGGUCAUUUAUUUUUGAGUUCACACAGCGUGCCUCUCAGUGCCAAACAGAAACACAUCACAGUCAAAUAACAAGCAUUGUGUCAGUCUAUUCAAAACAUCAUGCGCGCAAGGCUGUGUUGUAUGAAAUAGACAUCAACACAGGUAAGUGGGAGAUGGCCCUCAUAACAGGUGUCAUGGCUGCUGACCCCGGUUUAUGUGGUUCACUAGCAGUUCUCAUAACAGGUGUCAUGGUUACGGACCCAGGUGUCAUUAGCAGUUCCACUCAUACUAAAAUACUGCCUCUGUCCUAUAGAUCUGACAGCGGCGUCCAAUGCACGUCAUUUCUGUUCUGCCUUUUACUCCUGGCUUCCUAUCGCAGGCAAAAGUGAGAAACUUGUGUGUUCUGUUGAAAAGUGUUUUCUUUCUCUAAUGUAUUGAUUUCAUAUCUAAAGAGCAUGGUCUUAUAGUACAUUUUGAAAAUAUUUAUAUAUUUUAAAACUAUAUUUUAAUAUCUCUCUGACACUCUUGUUUGAGCCUACACAUUUUGCAGACUUGGAUUAAAGAUUGAGAAAUAGA